UAGGGANUCUUCGGCAAUGGGGGCAACCCUGACCGAGCAACGCCGCGUGAGUGAAGAAGGUUUUCGGAUCGUAAAGCUCUGUUGUAAGUCAAGAACGAGUGUGAGAGUGGAAAGUUCACACUGUGACGGUAGCUUACCAGAAAGGGACGGCUAACUACGUGCCAGCAGCCGCGGUAAUACGUAGGUCCCGAGCGUUGUCCGGAUUUAUUGGGCGUAAAGCGAGCGCAGGCGGUUAGAUAAGUCUGAAGUUAAAGGCUGUGGCUUAACCAUAGUACGCUUUGGAAACUGUUUAACUUGAGUGCAGAAGGGGAGAGUGGAAUUCCAUGUGUAGCGGUGAAAUGCGUAGAUAUAUGGAGGAACACCGGUGGCGAAAGCGGCUCUCUGGUCUGUAACUGACGCUGAGGCUCGAAAGCGUGGGGAGCAAACAGGAUUAGAUACCCUGGUAGUCCACGCCGUAAACGAUGAGUGCUAGGUGUUGGGUCCUUUCCGGGACUCAGUGCCGCAGCUAACGCAUUAAGCACUCCGCCUGGGGAGUACGACCGCAAGGUUG
rnacentral:rRNA from 1 species